UACGGGGGGGGCUAGCGUUGUUCGGAAUUACUGGGCGUAAAGGGCUCGUAGGCGGCCAGCUAAGUCAGACGUGAAAUCCCUCGGCUCAACCGAGGAACUGCGUCUGAUACUGAUUGGCUUGAAUCCGGGAGAGGGGUGCGGAAUUCCAGGUGUAGCGGUGAAAUGCGUAGAUAUCUGGAGGAACACCGGUGGCGAAGGCGGCAUCCUGGACCGGCAUUGACGCUGAUGAGCGAAAGCCAGGGGAGCAAACGGG
rnacentral:rRNA from 1 species